AGGGCGAUCUUAAGUCACAAUCCCGCCCAAGGUCCCCUUCCCACCGCGCCCCGCUGGAACACCCCUCCCCUCCCCUUAGUGAGGAAGGAUUUGGGCCGCAGACCUGGGUGGUCUCAGGACUCCAGCGGCCUGUGGGGUGGGGUGGGGUCGGGACGCGGCACAGCUUCCCAAGGAAGUCACAGGACCUCGCCUCGGGAUAUUCAGAAGUGCUAGUCCAGUUCUGGCAGCCUGAACUCUUCCUCCUCCAAGGGGUGCUGUACUCAGCCUGUGGGCUUUGAAGCAGUGGGCAUUCGACUUCAGAGUUGUUUUCCUUGAGGCACUGAUACCGGACUUGGCGGAGGAGAGUGAUGGUACUCAUGUGUUUCUGGGUGGUUGCCUGAACAAGGGAGUUCAGCCUUUGGGAGAUAAAGCAGGAUAUGAAGCUGCUACCAGGGAGGUCCAGUUUCUGAAACACUGGAAUUGUGUGAGCAGAAGUCGCCGCUCACACCAGCCCUCGGUGUGAGGAGGAGGACAUCUGAGGGCAAGACGCCCGCUCUGCGCUGCGCAUUCGCUCUGGCCAUAGCCGGCCUCGUGUCGCUGCUGCUGCUGCAGCCCGAGGGCGCCCUGGGCCAGGAGCUGCAAGUGCCGCAGCCCAGGGCCACCAGUUGGCUGAACUUAGGCUCCAUCAAGAAGUACAUGGGGAAGCUCUUCAACAGCAGCCCGAAGAAAUCUAAAAACCACAAGAAAACUGCGAACGCCACGGACACCUCCCCAUCGAAAGCCACGAACCCCCAGUGGCUGAACACCUCGGAAUCCCGACCACCGACCUCCUCCCGGGGCCCCAGGUAGGACAACCUGGACGCUCGGCACCGAGCCAGGGGCCUCGGGGCUGGCGGCAGCUUGGGUGGUAGCGAGAGGAAGCUCCUGGGGGCGGGCAUGCGGGGAGACACAGCACCCCUGUGGGGGGCUUCUUUCUCCAGGCUGGGCCUUGGCCUCCAGACGCCUCUCCGCCCACCAACCCCUUUAUAUUGAGAGGGGCCUGGACCCCUCCUCAUCCCCUCAGUGAAAACAAUAAAGACAAAUUUUUGUUGCUUC